AAUGAACGCUGGCGGCAUGCCUAACACAUGCAAGUCGAACGAGGCCUUCGGUGUUAGUGUCGCAUUAGUGGGUACCGCGUUGCAACAUGCCCUUAAGUUUGGAAUAAAUCCCCGGAACUCGUGCUAAUACCGGCUCAUGUUCCCGGACCACAGGUUUUUCGCGCUUGGAUGGGCCCGCGUUGGCUUAGAUGGUUGGUAGGGUAAAAGCCUACCAAGGCGACGAUCCAUAGAUGCUUUGAGAGGAUGAUCCGCCACACUGGGACUGGGACACGGCCCAGACUCCUACGGGAGGGGGCAGUGGGGAAUAUUGGACAAUGGGGGAAAGCCUGAUCCAGCAAUGCCGCGUGAGUGAUGAAGGCCUCAGGGUUGUAAAGCACUUUUAACCGGGAUGAUAAUGACAGUACCGGGAGAAUAAGCUCCGGCUAACUCCGUG
rnacentral:rRNA from 1 species